CUCUCUCUCUCUGUUUCAGAUUGGUGGAGAUAAAGCAAUAUAGUAGCUGAAGUGAGUGAGACGUCGGCUGUUCCCGUUAUAACGCAUCCUCCCGCCGCCGCUUAUCGUUACGUUACCACCACCGACACCAACUACUGCAGCAGCAGUCGAUGGAGCGACAGGAAGAGAGGAAGAAAGACAGAGAAGUAGUAGGCGAUAUCGAACACACAGACACAGAAAAAUCGAACACACAGAGAGAUAGAGAGAGAGAGAGAGAAAGAAGGAAAGAGAGACAGAGAGACAAGACUUCCCAAACAGGUUUCUAGGACUCUAGUUCAGGGGGAGACAACUGCCACCAUCACAGCUGCCCUUGUCACGAUGUUCUAUUAGCAUUUACCACAUAGCAGCUAUUUGGCGUGGUUGUUGUAGUUGUCAUUGUUGUUGUUGUAGUUGAUGUGUAGC